AGAGCACUCAAUUGUCAAAUGAAGAGAAUUCAUCAAGAAGAAAAAAAAAGAAAAAACAAACAGACAAACAAAAAGAACAAAAAAUCACAAAGUGAUGAUGAGCAAAGAGAUUGAAAACUAAAGUUCAAGAAAAGCAAAGUGCUCAAAAAGUCAAAUAGUUGAUUCAAUACUUAGAUGAUAACCCUUGUUUCAGAAAGAAUAAUAACCAACAAACAUUCAUUUGGGCCUUUAUAUCCUUUCUUUCAAUACCUGUUAGCACCUGGCCACGUUACAAGCCUAAUAAAGUCCACGCAGAUUGGAUAAUGUUUGCUAAAGUUUUCAUGAAGCUUAAUUUUGUGAUAAGGGAAAAUGAUUUUCAAUGUGUCGAAAAAGGAGAAAGAAGAAAAAAAAAGAAAAGAAGAAAAAGUAAUGUCUCGGGAAGAGGGGAUCACCCUGCCAUCUAACCAGAGGCAUGCAAAAGAAAAAUCAAAUUAAUUUGGGGUCACCCUUUUAGCCGGUCCUUUUCAUGUUCAAUACCUCAUCCAAACAGAACCCUGGCCAAAGAAAAACCGGGACAACUUUGUGAGUCUCACUCGAGUUUUUCAUCAACCCAUACCACAAUAAACAAAGAAAAAGCAAACAACAAUUGGGCAACUUUGUGAGUCUCAUACAAGUUUUUCAUCAAUCCAUAACCGCAAGACUGGGGCAGCUUUGAAAAUCUCCUUUGAAAUUUUCACCCUAAUUGUCAUGGAUCCAAACCUCAGCUCAUUUUCCUAAACACAAAACCAGGGCAAAAUUUUUGAUAUAUUGUGUUUCGUCUUGACACUCAUUUGAGGAUUGAAGUACCCAUGUGUUGGUCCCAGUCUUUCAAACCAUUCCAAAUGACUCUCAUUCUCUUCGAAAUCAUCCACUUGCCAACAAAUUCAAGCAUGUGUGCACUGAUGUCUCGAAAAAAAGUCAAAAUGAAAUAAUCUCAAAUUUAAGACUUGGAUGCAUGACAUUACUCAGAUUUCACAAAAUCUUGAAAAUAAAGACCAGUUUGAUGAUUGCA
rnacentral:lncRNA from 1 species